UACAGAGACUGCAAGCGUGAUUCGGAUUCACUGGGCGUAAAGGGUGCGCAGGCGGCCGUGUGUGUGAGGCGUGAAAGCCCGGGGCUUAACCCCGGAAUUGCACCUCAAACUACAUGGCUAGAGCAUUGGAGAGGGUAGCGGAAUUCACGGUGUAGCAGUGAAAUGCGUAGAUAUCAAGAGGAACACCUGAGGUGAAGACGGGUUGCUGGGCCGACACUGACGCUGACAGCGCGAAAGCCAGGGGAGCAAACGGG
rnacentral:rRNA from 1 species